rnacentral:tRNA from 1 species
GGAGAGAUGGCAGAGUUGGUUUAAUGUACCUGAUUCGAAAUCAGGCGUACCUUCACGGGUACCGGGGGUUCGAAUCCCUCUCUCUCCG